UCCGUAGGUGAACCUGCGGAAGGAUCAUUAUCAGGUGGAGCAGGCCUCGCGCUUGCACCUCCCUCCCUUUGUAAACCAUACUCUGUUGCUCGAGCCAGCGGCUUCACGGCCCUGGCGAGAGGUUAUCACAACCCUUUUUUUAGAAUGUCUGAGUACCUAUUUAAUAGCAUAAAACUUUCAACAACGGAUCUCUUGGUUCCGGCAUCGAUGAAGAACGCAGCGAAAUGCGAUAACUAGUGUGAAUUGCAGAUUUACGUGAAUCAUCGAGUCUUUGAACGCACAUUGCGCUCCUUGGUUUUCCAGGGAGCAUGUCUAUCCGAGCGUCGUUGCAACACUCAAGCCCCGCUUGGUCUUGGAGCGCGUCCCGCCUGUCGGGGCCGCUCCCAAACGCAACUCGAGUCGCUCAGUGGCUGGCGCGCAGUAUUAUGUGUGCAGAAGCCCGGCAGCCUUGCCGCCCCCGUGCGGAUUCUUUCAGGUUGACCUCGGAUUAGACAAGGAUACCCGCUGAACUUAAGCAUAUCAAUAAG
rnacentral:rRNA from 1 species